rnacentral:misc_RNA from 1 species
UGGGCUUGACAUGCACGGGACGGUGGGUGGAAACACCCGCUUCCCUUCGGGGCUCGUGCACAGGUGCUGCAUGGCUGUCGUCAGCUCGUGUCGUGAGAUGUUGGGUUAAGUCCCGCAACGAGCGCAACCCUCGUCCCUAGUUACCAGCGGGUCAUGCCGGGAACUCUAGGGAGACUGCCGGUGUCAAACCGGAGGAAGGUGGGGAUGACGUUUACCGACAGCU